rnacentral:misc_RNA from 1 species
UCUCCGUUGGUGAACCAGCGGAGGGAUCAUUACAGGGUCUCGCGACUCUCAAACCCACUGUGCAUUAAUACUACUUUACUGCUGCGGCGGGCCGCUCGCUGGGGGAGCUCUGGCCUGUAAAGGUGGCCCGCCAAAGCAACUUUUCAAACACUACUUUGAAAACCAAACCAAAACUUUCAAAUUAAAUAUCACAACUCAUAACAAUGGAUCUCUUGGCUCUGGCAUCGAUGAAGAACGCAGC